rnacentral:rRNA from 1 species
AGUGAACGCUGGCGGUAGGCCUAACACAUGCAAGUCGAACGGCAGCACAGUAAGAGCUUGCUCUUACGGGUGGCGAGUGGCGGACGGGUGAGGAAUACAUCGGAAUCUACUUUUUCGUGGGGGAUAACGUAGGGAAACUUACGCUAAUACCGCAUACGACCUACGGGUGAAAGCAGGGGAUCUUCGGACCUUGCGCGAUUGAAUGAGCCGAUGUCGGAUUAGCUAGUUGGCGGGGUAAAGGCCCACCAAGGCGGCGAUCCGUAGCUAGUCUGAGAGGAUGAUCAGCCACACUGGAACUGAGACACGGUCCAGACUCCUACGGGAGGCAGCAGUGGGGAAUAUUGGACAAUGGGCGCAAGCCUGAUCCAGCCAUACCGCGUGGGUGAAGAAGGCCUUCGGGUUGUAAAGCCCUUUUGUUGGGAAAGAAAAGCAGCAGGUUAAUACCCCGCUGUUCUGACGGUACCCAAAGAAUAAGCACCGGCUAACUUCGUG